AGAAAGCGGCUUCGGCCGUGAGUAAAGUGGCGGACGGGUGAGUAACACGUGGAUAAUCUACCUCUUAGCGGGGGAUAACAGUCCGAAAGGAUUGCUAAUACCGCAUACGUCGGCCGGGGAUACCUGGUCGGGAAAGCAGCCCUCUCCAUGGAAGGUUGCACUGAGAGAUGAGUCCGCGUCCCAUCAGCUAGUUGGUAGGGUAAUGGCCUACCAAGGCUAAGACGGGUAGCUGGUCUGAGAGGAUGAUCAGCCACACUGGAACUGAGACACGGUCCAGACUCCUACGGGAGGCAGCAGUGGGGAAUAUUGGGCAAUGGGCGCAAGCCUGACCCAGCCACGCCGCGUGAGUGAUGAAGGCCUUCGGGUCGUAAAGCUCUGUGGGGAGGGACGAAAAAACGCUGGCCAACAUCCAGCGGACUGACGGUACCUCCUUAGCAAGCACCGGCUAACUCUGUGCCAGCAGCCGCGGUAAUACAGAGGGUGCAAACGUUGCUCGGAAUCAUUGGGCGUAAAGCGCACGUAGGCGGUCCAGCAAGCGGGGAGUGAAAGCCCUCGGCUUAACCGAGGAAGUGCUUUCCGUACUACUGGACUUGAGUACUGAAGAGGGUCGCGGAAUUCCCGGUGUAGAGGUGAAAUUCGUAGAUUUCGGGAGGAACACCAGUGGCGAAGGCGGCGACCUGGGCAGAUACUGACGCUGAGGUGCGAAA
rnacentral:rRNA from 1 species